UACUCGGACUAGUAGCUAGCAGUACUCGGAUGACUAACUGACUGUGUAUUACAAUUGCUGGGUGCACUUAUGAUACACUUAGUGUGCCACCUCCAGAUGACCAACUGACUGUGUAUUUGUACUAGCACGUGCCGACGAAGCAGGAACACAGAGUUGCAGAGAGCAGCAGCUCGCAAUCGUGGUCAGGGACCGACCGUCCGAGAGUAGACCGUGGAGACGUGGAGUUCAGUCCAGGCAGUUCCUUUCACGUAGAUUUUGCUGGUUGUGGCAUUGCUUGAAUUUGGGUUAUUGGAUAGCUGGAGCUGCGUAGGAUUUCUUCUAAUUUACUACAGGAGACGAAGACCACGCUUCAUGAAUUCAGGGCGCCCCCGAGGUGGUCAUGUGGGAUCCUCUCGAACAGCUCGUGCUCGCUGUUGACUUCGAUGGCAGGGUCACCCGCUCCAUCGGCCCCCUCUCCGGCGGGAUGUACUACUCGGAUUUCAUCCCCUACGUCAACUCAUACACAGAGAUCUACAUGUACUACUCGGAUUAAACUCUGUUCUGCUGUACAAUUACACUCGCAAGCUGUCUUACCGUAUUAUUGGAUCUGUUAAUCACUGCCUAC